rnacentral:lncRNA from 1 species
CCUUGAUUUUUGAACUUAACCCUGUUUUUUUUGCAGGUGGGUAUUUCUACCUAAACAGAAAAUAAAUUCCUCUGGGAGAAGAAGGGAGGUCCGAUUGGAUAUAGCUCUUGGUACUUGCAUGGACUUACUUCUACAUGGGAGUAGAAUCAGAAGACAACCAUGCUUUGCCAUGCUAUCUGAAGAAAUUACCACCAACUCUGCCCUGCUCCUCUCUGCCACCUUUUCACUGGAUAAUGCUGCUCAUUUAGAUCUGGUGGUGCAUCCUGUACACCAGAUGUAGAGAAGCCAGUAUAUCCAGCCUAGAGUGAACACAUCCUUUCAUUUACUCCCCUUCCUUAAAUAUAGAGCCCAUUUUGAAGUAAAGAGAAGGAAAAUGCUGUGAUUCAUACGGUAUCAAUAUUUACAUCUAUGAGUUCACAGAUUUGUUAAACUGUUUA